CGGGUGCACUGAUCCAGCCGGGCCUUUCCCUCUGUGGAACCCCAUGGCCUUCACUGGCUGUGGUGGGGAAACAGGACUUUUACUUUGAAAAAAUUAGAGUGCUCCAGGCAGGCCUAUGCUCGAAUACAUUAGCAUGGAAUAAUAGAAUAGGACGUGUGGUUCUAUUUUGUUGGUUUCUAGGACCGCCGUAAUGAUUAAUAGGGACAGUCGGGGGCAUCAGUAUUCAAUUGUCAGAGGUGAAAUUCUUGGAUCUAUUGAAGACUAACUACUGCGAAAGCAUUUGCCAAGGAUGUUUUCAUUGAUAAGGAACGAAAGUUAGGGGAUCGAAGACGAUCAGAUACCGUCGUAGUCUUAACUAUAAACUAUGCCGACUAGGGAUCGGACGAUGUUGUUCUUUGACGCGUUCGGCACCUUUCGAGAAAUCAAAGUGCUUGGGCUCCAGGGGGAGUAUGGUCGCAAGGCUGAAACUUAAAGAAAUUGACGGAAGGGCACCACCAGGGGUGGAACCUGCGGCUUAAUUUGACUCAACACGGGGAAACUCACCAGGUCCAGACACAGUGAGGAUUGACAGAUUGAGAGCUCUUUCUUGAUUCUGUGGGUGGUGGUGCAUGGCCGUUCUUAGUUGGUGGAGUGAUUUGUCUGCUUAAUUGCGAUAACGAACGAGACCUUAACCUGCUAAAUAGCCCGUACUGCUUUGGCAGUUCGCCGGCUUCUUAGAGGGACUAUCGG
rnacentral:rRNA from 1 species